rnacentral:rRNA from 1 species
CCUACGGGAGGCAGCAGUGAGGAAUCUUGGUCAAUGGGCGCGAGCCUGAACCAGCCACGUCGCGUGAAGGAUGACUGCCCUACGGGUUGUAAACUUCUUUUAUAAAGGAAUAAAGUGAGGCACGUGUGCCUUUUUGUAUGUACUUUAUGAAUACGGAUCGGCUAACUGCGUGCCAGCAGCCGUGGUAAUCCGGAGGCGCCGAGCGUUAUCCGGAUUUAUUGGGUUUAAAGUGAGCGUAGAUGGGUUGGUAAGUCAGUUGUGAAAGGUUGGGGCUCAACCGUAAAAUUGCAAUUGAAGCUGGCAGUCUUGAGUACAGUUGGGGGAAGCGGAAUUCGUGGUGUAGCAGUGAAAUGCUUAGAUAGCGCGAAGAACUCCGAUUGCGAAGGCAGCUUACUAAACUGCCACUGACAUUGAGGCUCGAAGGUGUGGGUAUCAAACAGGAUUAGAUACCCCAGUAGUC